GUGGGGAUAAAGAGAGUGUGUUGCAAUUCUCCCAAUCAACAUCACUCAAAUUGGAUAGAAGUUGUAGGAGUCCACACCUAAUGGACCAAGAUGACAAGCAGCCUAGGAAGGCCAUAGAACUCUCUGAAAUUUUGAAGCGUGAUGAAAAAUGGAAAUCUUGAACUGCUUUCUCAAAGCCUCAGAAGCUAAAGUCAGGUAGAGACUUUUGGAACAGGUUAAAACAAGCCAGGUCUUCCCAUGGAUGUACAGCAAAUGAAGACACAGCCAGAACAGGUCAGUUACAAUGAGAGUUUCUCUA
rnacentral:lncRNA from 1 species